CCUGACCUCGUGAUCCGCCCGCCUCGGCCUCCCAAAGUGCUGGGAUUACAGGCGUGAGCCACUGCACCUGGCCUUGGUCUAGGGUCUCUUAGUCUUUCACUCUCAGGCACUUUGAGGAAAUGUAUUAAACAGGACAAUUUUGUUUUAAUAGUCUCACUCUUGGCUUUGCCGCACGAGCUAUGUUUUUGUUUCUAAAACAAAAAUAAGGUUUACCAAAACAAGAUGAUCCUUAAGGAUUUGGCUAAAAAAGAAUUCUCUAUGCCAAGUGAAACUAUGCCUGCGGAAGUUAAAUUCUCACCACCCUCCCACUCUGCACCAGCCCUGCCACCAGCCUCACUCCUUGAAAGUCUAGUUUGGGAAUCAGAACAUAUCCAGAACAAAAUGGAACCAUGUUGUGCUAGGUGUCAAAUGAAUGAUGCAAGCAAGAAAUGUUGUAGGCAUUGGUAUGGCAUGGAGGAGAAAACUAAGGCCUUGUACUACCUGCUCAGGAAGGUUAGGAAAUGACAGAAACGGAAACCGAGUUUCAAUAGCAGCAUCUCUGAACUGGCUUUUUGUAUUCUCGGGCUGAUUUUGCAGGCUGGUAGCAGUUCCCUGUCUAGAAGAUACAAUGGACCCAGAGCCAUCAGCUGCUUCCUGGGGGAAGUGGUGGUGGCUGGGGAGGGGGAUCGUGAUUCUGCUGCAGGAUAAUUGCCAAGGACAGAGGGAGGGCUGUGUUCUCCUGCCUGAAGAUGGAAGUAAAGGAACAUUUUAACUGGGCAAAACCCUUCAAUCCUAGCCCAGCUGAGCAGGGAGUUGGUUUUCGAAAGCAGAGCUAUACGGACAGCCCCUGUGCCGGAUAUGACCUCCUAUAUUAAGAAAAAGUGGAAAAAACAGAACUGAAAGGAGUAGAGAUCUUCCUACAGUGCCAGGGCAGGGCUGAAGCCCCCCUCUCUCCAUAGCCGUGUCUUACUAUGACAAGGAACAAGUUUUUUCUCCACUUUUCCCUCCACUCCUAGGUUCAGGUCAACAUGAGGGUGACCAUCGCCAGGGUCAGUGCAUUUGGUAGGAGACCAGGGACCGUUUCUGGGAAUGUCAGGAAUCUUGUCUUUCAAAUGCUCACUUCACUUCACAGCCCCUGCGAGUGCCCUGAACCUUUGCAAGGUAUGUUCUAAGAAAGGGAACAAGGCCGGGCGCGGUGGCUCACGCCUGUAAUCCCAGCACUUUGGGAGGCUGAGACGGGUGGAUCACGAGGUCAGGAGAUUGAGAC
rnacentral:lncRNA from 10 species